UCCAUCAUAAAAAGCUGAAUAUUUCAUAAUUCUAAACUAAAACCUCUUACUUACCACUUGUACUAUAUAUAAAUACUCUCCAGUACUAAAUUUAACUUGUUAAAGUAUCAUUUAGUGCAUGCCCUACUUGGGUUCACCCUUGUACCCAGAAAAUACACUAAACAACCAUUGAGUAUAACAUUGAAAGGCUGAACCAUUGACAUGGAUCAUGAGUACGUUCUGCAAUUAGUACGCUUUACCAACUCAACUAAUUUCACGAGAUAUGCCCACAAGAAAGCUUUUUUUAAAGAAAUCG
rnacentral:lncRNA from 1 species